rnacentral:rRNA from 1 species
AUAAUGGGUCAGCGACUUAUAUUCUGUAGCAAGGUUAACCGAAUAGGGGAGCCGAAGGGAAACCGAGUCUUAACUGGGCGUUAAGUUGCAGGGUAUAGACCCGAAACCCGGUGAUCUAGCCAUGGGCAGGUUGAAGGUUGGGUAACACUAACUGGAGGACCGAACCGACUAAUGUUGAAAAAUUAGCGGAUGACUUGUGGCUGGGGGUGAAAGGCCAAUCAAACCGGGAGAUAGCUGGUUCUCCCCGAAAGCUAUUUAGGUAGCGCCUCGUGAAUUCAUCUCCGGGGGUAGAGCACUGUUUCGGCAAGGGGGUCAUCCCGACUUACCAACCCGAUGCAAACUGCGAAUACCGGAGAAUGUUAUCACGGGAGACACACGGCGGGUGCUAACGUCCGUCGUGAAGAGGGAAACAACCCAGACCGCCAGCUAAGGUCCCAAAGUCAUGGUUAAGUGGGAAACGAUGUGGGAAGGCCCAGACAGCCAGGAUGUUGGCUUAGAAGCAGCCAUCAUUUAAAGAAAGCGUAAUAGCUCACUGGUCGAGUCGGCCUGCGCGGAAGAUGUAACGGGGCUAAACCAUGCACCGAAGCUGCGGCAGCGACGCUGAUGCGUUGUUGGGUAGGGGAGCGUUCUGUAAGCCUGUGAAGGUGUGCUGUGAGGCAUGCUGGAGGUAUCAGAAGUGCGAAUGCUGACAUAAGUAACGAUAAAGCGGGUGAAAAGCCCGCUCGCCGGAAGACCAAGGGUUCCUGUCCAACGUUAAUCGGGGCAGGGUGAGUCGACCCCUAAGGCGAGGCCGAAAGGCGUAGUCGAUGGGAAACAGGUUAAUAUUCCUGUACUUGGUGUUACUGCGAAGGGGGGACGGAGAAGGCUAUGUUGGCCGGGCGACGGUUGUCCCGGUUUAAGCGUGUAGGCUGGUUUUCCAGGCAAAUCCGGAAAACUAAGGCUGAGGCGUGAUGACGAGGCACUACGGUGCUGAAGCAACAAAUGCCCUGCUUCCAGGAAAAGCCUCUAAGCAUCAGGUAACAUCAAAUCGUACCCCAAACCGACACAGGUGGUCAGGUAGAGAAUACCAAGGCGCUUGAGAGAACUCGGGUGAAGGAACUAGGCAAAAUGGUGCCGUAACUUCGGGAGAAGGCACGCUGAUAUGUAGGUGAAGUCCCUCGCGGAUGGAGCUGAAAUCAGUCGAAGAUACCAGCUGGCUGCAACUGUUUAUUAAAAACACAGCACUGUGCAAACACGAAAGUGGACGUAUACGGUGUGACGCCUGCCCGGUGCCGGAAGGUUAAUUGAUGGGGUCAGCGCAAGCGAAGCUCUUGAUCGAAGCCCCGGUAAACGGCGGCCGUAACUAUAACGGUCCUAAGGUAGCGAAAUUCCUUGUCGGGUAAGUUCCGACCUGCACGAAUGGCGUAAUGAUGGCCAGGCUGUCUCCACCCGAGACUCAGUGAAAUUGAACUCGCUGUGAAGAUGCAGUGUACCCGCGGCAAGACGGAAAGACCCCGUGAACCUUUACUAUAGCUUGACACUGAACAUUGAGCCUUGAUGUGUAGGAUAGGUGGGAGGCUUUGAAGUGUGGACGCCAGUCUGCAUGGAGCCGACCUUGAAAUACCACCCUUUAAUGUUUGAUGUUCUAACGUUGACCCGUAAUCCGGGUUGCGGACAGUGUCUGGUGGGUAGUUUGACUGGGGCGGUCUCCUCCUAAAGAGUAACGGAGGAGCACGAAGGUUGGCUAAUCCUGGUCGGACAUCAGGAGGUUAGUGCAAUGGCAUAAGCCAGCUUGACUGCGAGCGUGACGGCGCGAGCAGGUGCGAAAGCAGGUCAUAGUGAUCCGGUGGUUCUGAAUGGAAGGGCCAUCGCUCAACGGAUAAAAGGUACUCCGGGGAUAACAGGCUGAUACCGCCCAAGAGUUCAUAUCGACGGCGGUGUUUGGCACCUCGAUGUCGGCUCAUCACAUCCUGGGGCUGAAGUAGGUCCCAAGGGUAUGGCUGUUCGCCAUUUAAAGUGGUACGCGAGCUGGGU